GUGUUUAUUAAAUCGCUUUACUGAUACAGUGAUAUUACAUGUGAACAGCCAUGGCUAAACCAUCUCAUGUAGUACAUGUCUAAAGUCAUGUUUCACAGGCACAUUCUGUUUAAUUCUUUAAAUUCCACGGGCAUAGUCUGUGCUUUUCAUCAUCCUGAAAAUUAUACCCAUGACUGUGAAAGCCACAUUAAUGUUUGUUCAGUUCUGUCUGUAUAAGUAACAUAAAAAUGUCAAGUGUAUUGACCCUUCAAAAAGUUACAUUUUGCUUACUGUAGAGAAAUGUCCUAUUUCUCCCUAGAAAAAGGAUAAUAUUUUCUGAUUGCGCAAGCAGUUUAUGAGUGUGCUAUUUGAGUCUAUUUUGACAGCUGCCUUUCAUUUGUUAUUGGAGAGCCUCUUCCAGCACGUUCCUUCUCCCCCUAUUCUAGCCAAGGUGGGGGGUGUCAAUGUUUUCCAUAAUUAUUCAAAUUUAAGGGAUUCUUAGGAAACAAAUCCUUAACUUCUUACCCUGUACAGUGUGUCCGUGUAGAAAUAUCAAGAAACUGAGCUCUCUGAUUUGGAAAUUUGUACUAUUCACAGCUAUCACACUGUGCACGGCCAGGCACACAGUAGGUGCUCAGGUCAUGUGUGCUGAGUUGAAUCGUGUGGGCACGAGGACGUAUGCCACAGAUGGAGAAAUGGUGGCUCUUGUAUUGUAUUCAUAAGUUUGCUCUCUGUGCUGAUUUUGAAGCAAUUCCUUAUCAUCAUUACAUGUAAAGCAGAAAGCAGUGAGAGGAAUGCCAUGUUUGGAACACUGAAUUAGUCACUGCCAGACUCUCUCCCAUACAGCAAGCCAGUCUCCGAUGCUAAAGAGAUGCUAAAAUGAAGUGAUUAAAACAUCCAGGUUUUUACGCAGGGCUGGAGAAGCUCUUGGUUCAGUGACAGAACUUUGACUGUACUUCUGACACAGUGGCUUACAAAAGUAUUCACUCUACCGACGUCAGUAUCUGAGUGCAUGGAUACUUGAAGAAAAGGUUUUAACAAAUACACAAAUGCUCGCCAUGACACUGUUACAGGAAGGAACUUAAAGUAGUCUAAGAUUUCUUUAAUAAGUUGCUGAACAACUGACGAAGGGCAUUCUGGGACGAGAUAGCUUAAGCAGAGACUUAAAAGUGCAUCAGGAUGCCUAUAUGGCUAUGAAAAGAUGACCGUAAGAUACUAACUCAAAGGUGAGCUGUUUAAGGGUGGCAUGCUUGCCCUCGAUUGAAAAUAUUUACUGCAAUAUUGGUGAUGGAAGCUUCUAGAAAGUUAGAUGGGCUAUUUAUCAAACUCAAUUUAUUUCCACAGAACCUUGAUCUGUUUUUUUGAAAGGAAAAUAAAUUAUUUUUACGUUUUAGGAGUUAAAAAGUUACUACUGCUGACUUUCAAGAUCGUUUUUAUUUUUAAAACAUCCCAAGGAAUGGUUAGCUAUUGCCCUACUUUGCCCUGGACCAGAGUGCUAACCACAAUGCUGGUAGCUAACGAGCAUUCCAAGGGAAAGCCCCUUGUCACUCUAUGAAGGGAGCUGCUGGCCAAUGCCUCUGGGACACACAUUGGGAGGGAUGUGACCACAUUCAGUUCCUGUGGCCCAGAUCUGAGUGGUGGGUCAGCGGAGGGGCAUUUUUUUAUGGAUAGCUAUAGUGACAGAGAUAAGGUAACUUAAAGAACAUCCACUUCCCCACAAGUAACCCAGGGUUCUGUCUGCACCGGAGAAGCAUUCAUACUGAGCCCUCCUCUGGAGAUUCUCUGAGCAUCUGUCCUUUAUCUGUGGGUCUGGAGGUCAUGGAGACUAAAGCGUAGUUCUCAAUGAUUGUUCACCAGACUCAGCUAAUUCAGGGUGAACGUCCUUAGCUGCAGUCACAGGAGAAGUUCAGAUGCAGAGGAACUGGAUGGAUGCUAUUUUCUCCUGGGGAAUGCCUUUCUCAUGAACCAGGAAGUUCCUCAUGACUGAAAACUGGAGUCUUGCAGGGCUGACUAAAUCCAGGAGUCUCUACCCCUGGUUUAAGGAAGCCCUGGGGUCUAAGACUUGCCUUCAGGUCCAGCAUCAACACAUAGGCACGGCGGGAUCCUUGGGCAGUGACCACUUCUCUCUAAACCUCGGCUUCUUCAUAUAAUUGGGAUCACUUUGGGAAGCUUCUUGGCUUGUUGCUGAAAUACCAGUACUUGGGAGGCUGAAGCAGGGGGAUUGCGAACUCAAGGCCAGGAUGGUAUACACAGGGAGAGGCUAUCCCAAGAAGCCUCCCAAAAGUUGUUCAUUGUACAUUGCAGUGUACGGUACAGUGCUCAGUAAAUAGCGCUAUGCAUUUCUAGGUCGUUUGAUUAUGUAUUUGGUAGAAACAGGGAGGAACUUGGUAUAAGCAGCAGAGAGGCUGUGAGUGCCACACAUACACGAACACACACAGACUGCAUGCUUCAGGGUCCCAUGUCAGCUCCCUCACAAACAAGGGAGGACACUGCAAU
rnacentral:lncRNA from 1 species